CGUGGCGGCGUGGAUAGGCAUGCAAGUCGAACGAAUCCCACGGGUUGUAGCAAUACAGUCUGUGGGGGAAGUGGCGAAAGGGGCAGUAAGGCGUGGGUAACCUACCCCGGGGACCGGGAUAGCCGUCCUAACGGGCGGAUAAUACCGGGCGAUUUGGCGAGGGGGCAUCUUCUUGCCAGGAAAUGAGUUUCGCCUCGGGAGGGGCUCACGUGAUAUUAGCUUGUUGGCGGGGUGACGGCCCACCAAGGCGAAGAUGUCUAGCGGGUGUGAGAGCACGACCCGCGCCACUGGCACUGAGACACUGGCCAGACUCCUACGGGAGGCUGCAGUCGAGGAUCUUCGGCAAUGGGCGCAAGCCUGACCGAGCGACGCCGCGUGCGCGAUGAAGGCCUUCGGGUUGUAAAGCGCUGUCGAGGGGGAGGAAAGCCCGCAAGGGUCUGACCUAUCCCUGGAGGAAGCACGGGCUAAGUUCGUGCCAGCAGCCGCGGUAAGACGAACCGUGCGAACGUUGUUCGGAUUCACUGGGCUUAAAGGGCGCGUAGGCGGAUCGGCAAGUCCGGGGUGAUAGCUUUCGGCUCAACCGGAAAAGGGCCUUGGAUACUGCGG
rnacentral:rRNA from 1 species